rnacentral:piRNA from 1 species
UUUUGUUCAACUGGCUUUUUA